rfam:Lysinibacillus macroides strain DSM 54 Scaffold1, whole genome shotgun sequence.
AUAAUGAUACGCCCCUACAGUCACCGUCCGAGCGUUCAAAGCGUCACAGGCAAUGAGUAGGGCUGGAAGAAAUACUUGCAGAGGUUGAAAUACCUGUGG